UUCCUUGCGCCUUCCUUUCGAUUUUUCAAAAUUAGAAUUUCUUCACACGCUUAAGCUAAUCAUUAUAACGUAUUAAACUUACAUCUAAUUCUUAUAAUAAUCAUAAUCUUCAUAGGUACUUAAAUACUUUAAUUGAGAAUUAUAAUAAUCGUUCAUUAUGCUCCAAGCUAAAUUUUUUAAUUAAUUGCUUGCUUAUUCAUUCAAUAUUACACGUGGUUAACUACCUACCUACACGUAUUCAACUCGCUUCGACCGCUCGGCCGCUCGGCCGCUCGGCCGCUCGGACAAAAAACCGGUUCCUUAUCGCUAGCGACGUAGUUCUCAUACCUAUCUUUCAGUCAAUUUGCAUCGUAAUAAUAUAAUAUGAAUGCAUCAAAUAGGUAACUACUCAUCACGCGCGGCUUUUUAGCUGUUUUUCUUUUAAGAUAGACAUAUAUUUAAGCUAUAUAGUAAUAGUUUAGAUUUUUAUAACCUACAGUAAUGCUUUUUAGUGUUUAUAAUUUUAUCUUUUACGCUUUUAUAAAUAAUAAAACACUGUGAUAGCUCAUAGCAUAGUCAACACUAGCAUUUAACAUUUAAGAAUUUAAUUUUUAAAUAUUUUAUGCACAUCAUUAGAGAACUUAUAUGGUUCUAGCUUUUAGCUAAGUUUUUAGUAUAUUGUUUUAAACACAUUUUUCUAAAUUAUACCUAUUAAGCUGCAGCAAGUAUUUAACAUUUGUAGAUUGAUUACUUGAGUAAAUAAUUAAUGGUUCAAUUAAUUUAAAUUAUCUUUAAUUUGAGAUUUUUUUUUAAUUUAUUGUUUUUAUACUUUGAUUUUUUUUCUAAAAAUGGGUGAUGCAAAAAUAAAAGAAUUGACAAAACUUCGCGGUAGUGUUAAGGGGAAGCUAACAAUUUUUCAAAAUUAUUUAAGCAGCUUUGAUGAUAGUAAUCAUGAUGAUUUAACUGAAAAUCAAAUUAAUGAGCUUGAGUGCCGGUUAAAUAAAGUAGACAGCUUGCAUGUUGAAUUCGAUAAAUUUCAGACGGAACUCGAAAUGUUAUCAGAAGAUCCAAGUUAACUAUUUUCUGAGCGUGAGGAAUUUGACCAAAAGUAUUUUUCAUUGGUAGCAUCCGCAAGAACAAUUAUGAACAGGAGCAGACGUCAACUGCAUCGGAGACUUUCUGUGUCCAAGACUAGUGAAGGGAGCGUAAACAGAGAUGGAGGGUUUCGAGAUUUCGUUCGUUUACCUAAAAUCUCCCUUCCCUUCUUCAAUGGUGAAAAAAUGGAAAAUUGGCUGGAGUUCAGAGAUACCUACCUGUCUCUAAUUCAUAAUUGUUCCACCAUUGGUAAUAUCAAUAAAUUUCACUAUUUAAGAGCAGCAUUAAAAGGCAGUGCCUUAACUGUAAUACAAAGUCUUGAAUUCACAGCAAAAAAUUAUGACGUUGCUUGGCAAUUGCUUUCUAGUAGGUACGAUAACGAACGCAUUUUAGUAAAUAUACAUGUUAACGCUUUAUUAAAUUUCACACAAAUUCAAAAAGAGUCUGGUAAAAUAUUAAGAAAUUUAGUCGAUACCGUUAAUCGAAAUUUAUGUGCAUUAAAUAGUUUGGGUCAACCCACCGAUCAUUGGGAUACCUUAAUAAUACAUUUGAUGAGUAGGAAAUUAGACAGUGUCACCUUUCGUCACUGGGAGGAACACCGGAAUUCAAUAACGACAUCACCAACAUUAAAACAAUUUUUAACUUUUUUAACAAAUCGAGCAGACUUGUUAGAUACAAUACAGUUGGAAGAUACAAAAAGAGAAGAUACAUCACAAUUAAAUCAUUUCACACAAAACACAAAAAACACAAUUUACAACAAAACAAAAAACACAAAAAAUGAAAUUUCAUGUCCUAUGUGUAAACAAAAUCAUUUUCUAUUUAGCUGUGCGGAAUUUCGAAAGUUAAGUGUUAAUGCACGGUUAGAAAAAGUAAAAGAUUUCGCAGUCUGUAAAAAUUGCUUACGGCCUGGACACAAAGACAGAUUCUGUCGAUUAACUCACUGCAAAUAUUGUAAUUUGAAGCACAGUAGUCUUCUACACAAAGAUACUGAACAGGAAACUGUCGUAGCUUUGUCGUCGUCUAUAACAGCUAGUGACAAGCCUCUUACAUUACUUUCCACAGCCUUGGUGAACGUGGUCGGCGCGGACGGCAGAUUGCACACCGCUCGCGCUCUUCUCGACAAUGGUGCUACUGCGCACUAUGUCACACAACACCUCUGUGAGAAGCUGGGUUUGGCACGAAAAAACACGCAUCAGAGCGCGCUUACGGAACGUGUAUCUACGUAAGAACGGUCGACGCAAACGGCACUGUACAUAUUCGCCUUCUAGCUUCUAGAAAUAAAGUGGCGCCUCUAAAACCUACCACAAUACCCAGACUGGAGCUUUGUGGUGCGGUUCUAGCCACAAGACUUCAUGCUAAAGUGAUUUCAUCACUGACACUUAAGUUAAGGCUGUACACUUGGAGCUCGUCACAGACCUUACUAAAGAGGCCUUCCUCGCUGCAUUCUUUAGGUUUAUCAGUCGCCAUGGAAAGCCAUUGACUGUGACGUCAGAUAACUCCACAACGUUCCUUGGAGCCAGUAACGAUAUAUCCAACUUUUUCACACAUCUGUCCGAAGACAUUAAAGCUGAUUUGAGUACCCAUGGAAUUAAUUUUAAAACCAUACCUCCUUAUACUCCUCAUAUGGGCGGACUAUGGGAGAGCGCGGUCAAAUCGGUAAAGCAUCAUUUAAAGCGGAUUUUAAAUUUAACACACUUAACCUAUGAGGAGAUGGCAACAUGCCUUGCUCAAAUUGAAGCUAUCCUUAAUUCCAGACCGCUGACACCUCUUUCUUCCGAUCCUUCAGACCUCUCAUGUUUAACUCCAGCUCACUUUCUAAUUGGACGACCACUUUUAUCUGUUCCUCGUCCUCCUGUCAGCGACGCCAAGCUCAGUGCCUUGGACCGCUACCAGAGGAUUGAGAAGCUGAAGCAACACUUCUGGGAUCGGUUCUCAAUAGAAUAUAUAUCUCUUCUUCAGCAACGUACCCGAUGGCAAUCAGCGAGUCCGGAUUUGCAGCUAGGCAGCUUGGUUCUUAUUAAGGAAAGGGGCCAGCCGCCUCUUCUGUGGUUGCUCGGACGAAUAGUCAAGUUGCACUCGGGCAGAGACGGAGUUUCGCGAGUAGCCGAGAUCCAGACCAGGAGAGGCCUAAUCACUCGGGCCUAUAAUAACAUCUGCCCACUGCCUAUUUGACAGCCUCGGCUUGGGCGGGCAGGAUGUCCAAGCGGACGACUACGCGGGUUGCGGGGCGCGGGGACUCCGCGCCGGCCCGUCGUGCCAGCGACCGACGCGCGGACACUUCGAAAUUGACUCGCACGGACUGUGUGCGCAUACAUUAUACAUAUUGUUGUUUGGUCUUUUAUAAAAUUAAAAUAAAAUUCACGAAGAGAA